rnacentral:rRNA from 1 species
CCGCGAAUUCGCCCUUCCAGUAGUCAUAUGCUUGUCUCAAAGAUUAAGCCAUGCAUGUCUAAGUAUAAGCAACUAUACGGUGAAACUGCGUAUGGCUCAUUAAAUCAGUUAUGCGUUUAUUUGAUAGUACCCUACUACAUGGAUACCUGUGGUAAUUCUAGAGCUAAUACAUGCUAAAAACCCCGACUUCGGAAGGGGUGUAUUUAUUAGAUAAAAAGCCAAUGCCCUUCGGGGCUCCUUGGUGAAUCAUAAUAACUUAACGAAUCGCAUGGCCUUGCGCCGGCGAUGGUUCUUUCAAAUUUCUGCCCUAUCAACUUUCGAUGGUAGGAUAGUGGCCUACCAUGGUGGCAACGGGUAACGGGGAAUUAGGGUUCGAUACCGGAGAGGGAGCCUGAGAAACGGCUACCACAUCCAAGGAAGGCAGCAGGCGCGCAAAUUACCCAAUCCCAAUACGGGGAGGUAGUGACAAUAAAUACUGAUACAGGGCUCUUUUGGGUCUUGUAAUUGGAAUGAGUACAAUUUAAAUCCCUUAACGAGGAACAAUUGGAGGGCAAGUCUGGU